CGUCCAGAAAUACUUGUCAUCAAAAUGGAUAAAAGGAAAUGUAUCUAGACGUAUUUUAGUUUUAGAUACAUCUCUUUUUAUCCAUUUUGAUGACAAGUAUUUUCGGACG
rnacentral:pre_miRNA from 1 species